rnacentral:SRP_RNA from 1 species
GCUGGGCGUGGUGGUGCAUGCCUGGAAUCCCAGCUACUCAGGAGGCUGAGGCAGGAGAAUUGUUUGAACCCAGGAGGCAGAGGUUGCAGUGAGCUGAGAUCACGCCACUGCACUCCUGCCUGGGCGACAGAGCAAGACUCUGUCUCAA